AAUGUCCAUUCCUGCAAGCCCAAACUGCAAGAACACCACAGACAGGAAAGGUUUGGCUGAGGCACACCAUCGGCUUACUUGGAUAUUCAUCCUUCUUCUAAAGGAUGCUGAAGCUGCGAGAGAACAGAAAGAUUUGCAGGCUUUGGUUGGUGGAAGAUGAGCAAUGAAAUUCAGAUUCCACAAUUAUGUGGAAGAGUUGGAUAAUAGUUUGAUUCUUUGGAGUAAUUCUUGUACUUCUCAGGUUAUUCCGUAAAUAGAAUAUAAUUCUGAUCAA